rnacentral:lncRNA from 1 species
UUUGUGAGAAAUUGUACAUAUUAAUGUAUGAAACAAUGAUUAUUGCAAUGGAGCAAUUCAUAUGAUAAAUUCAAAAUCAUAAAAUCCUCGUCACAAUAAAAUGCAUUUCAAAAUGCAAAACCAACACAUAAAUUAGGCAUGUAAACUUUUAUCAUGUGCCUGAAACAUAACCAAAAAGGGGAAUGUUCGUUAUUAAGGAGGUAGACCUAGGUUAAGGGAAAUAACUCUUUAAAUCAUUAGUAUGUUUGUGUCAACCAUUUUCAUAAAUAUAUUCUAAGCUUCUAGGUUACAUAGAUUAUUUUUAAUCUGUUUCAGGUAAAUGCUUAAAAUACGAUGAUGAAACUUUACUUUUACAAACUCAUAACUGAUUUAAAGGGUAAUCUCCCUGAAUCAAGGUCUACCACCUUAAAUGCAAUGCAAUUAUGUGUUUUUAUAUAACUCAUGUUAUUUUGACAUAGUCAUCACAAAAACAUAAUAUUCAAAUCAAAACCCAAACAUAAAAAAAAUCACAUCUUAACUUUACAAUGUGCUUCGAACAAAACUAGAUUAAAGAAUGUAGGGUUUUUUGGCAGUAAAUUCAAU